rfam:Gossypium raimondii Chr07_contig_21, whole genome shotgun sequence.
AUAUUUUAUAUUCAUCAAUUUUUACUGUUAAAAAUGGGCUAGGCUAACAGAAUAACCAUACAGUGACGCAUGGCGUGCCAUGUGUAUUUCAUGUUGACGUAUAGUAACCAGUUUUUAACAGUAGAAAUUGAUGGAGUUUUAAUAA